rnacentral:tRNA from 1 species
GGAACCGUGGCCGAGAGGCUUAAGGCGCUGUCCUGGAAAGGCAGAAGGGGUCACACCCUCGCUCGUUCGAAUCGAGCCGGUUCCG